rnacentral:misc_RNA from 1 species
GAAAUGCGAUAAGUAAUGUGAAUUGCAGAAUUCAGUGAAUCAUCGAAUCUUUGAACGCACCUUGCGCUCCUUGGUAUUCCAUGGGGCAUGCCUGUUCGAGCGUCAUUUGUACCCUCAAGCUCUGCUUGGUGUUGGGUGUUUGUCCCGUCUCCGCGCGUGGACUCGCCCCAAAGUGAUUGGCAGCCGGCGUACUGGUCCCGGAGCGCAGCACAUGUCGCGCAAACGAGUGCCUUGGUACGGCGGCGUCCAUAAGCCCCUCUCUCACGCUCUUGACCUCGGAUCAGGUAGGGAUACCCGCUGAACUUAAGC